rnacentral:lncRNA from 1 species
AUGAACCGACCACCAAGGAACUCAGCAGGCAGGAGGGCCUCUGAGCUUCAGCGUCAGGCGGAGUUCCGGAGGCUGUGCUGGACGUCGUCCCCCGCCGACAGGAAGGGGGUCACCCUCCCAUACUCGCCUGAGGGGGAAUGGGUCCUCCGUAAUUAUGCCCGGCUGUGGGAAAGCAUCUCCCAGGAGGAGCCACAGAGGUCCCCUCCACCUACCCAGCUGCCAACGAUCCCUGAGGGUCGUGUCCUGGCCGUGGCAACCCUGGGGGAUCAGGCAAGCCCCUCCCAGAGUCCUGAGGUGCCCUCCACAGCCAGCAGUCUCCCCAUGAAACGAGGGAGACGGUUUUCAUGGGAGUCAACUUCUGAGUCUUCGGCGUCCGAGACUGCCCUGCCCGAGACCAAACUCCCCCAACCCGCCUCUGACCCAGCUGUGGCCUCUGCACCGCGCCCAAGGAGGAAGAGGAGGAAGAGGGGGCCUGCCGGUCCUGUGACCCUGUCUCCUCCCGUGCCAGCAGCGGAGAGCGCUGGCGUGCCCGUGCCAGCAGCGGUGAGCGCUGGCGUGCCCGUGCCAGCAGCGGAGAGAGCUGGCGUGCCCGUGCCAGCAGUGGUGAGCGCUGGCGUGUCCGAGCCAGCAGCGGUGAGCGUGUCCGAGCCAGCAGCGGAGAGCGCUGGCGUGCCCGAGCCAGCAGCGGUGAGCGCUGGCGUGCCCGAGCCGGCAAAGAAGAGGGCAGUAUGCAAGUCGGCAGUCGUGAGAGCGCAGGAGAGUGCCGCGGCCGACUCUGCAGCAAAGACUUUAGUACAGUGUGUCUCAUCUCGUAAGGAGAUGCCAAUUGUCUUAGCGGCUAAAGCCUUUUCAGAUUAUUUGUCUAGUCUUGUCCGUAUCCUAGAAGUCCCCGUCAGUCCUGUCUUGUCCUCAGACCCUGUCCCCAGAAAUCCCGAGUGUCCUGAUGUCGUCUCCCCGUGUCCCGUAGAUGUCCUCUCCCCGUGUCCCGUGAGUGUUGCCCCGUGUCCUGCUGAUGUAGUCAUGUAUCCUGUUGAUGUGGCCCCGUGA